rnacentral:rRNA from 1 species
UAGGGAAUAUUGGUCAAUGGAUGGAAGUCUGAMCCAGCCAUGCCGCGUGCAGGAAGACGGCCUUCUGGGUUGUAAACUGCUUUUGCCAGGGGAUAAAAGGCCCAUGCGUGGGACAUUGAAGGUACCUGGUGAAUAAGCCACGGCUAACUACGUGCCAGCAGCCGCGGUAAUACGUAGGUGGCGAGCGUUGUCCGGAUUUAUUGGGUUUAAAGGGUGCGUAGGCGUCCCUGCAAGUUUUAGGUGAAAUGCCCAAGCUCAACUUGGGAGCUGCCUGAAAAACUGCCGGGAUUGAGUACAGAUGAGGUAGGCGGAAUUGACGGUGUAGCGGUGAAAUGCAUAGAUAUCGUCAAGAACACCGAUAGCGAAGGCAGCUUACUAGGCUGUAACUGACGCUGAUGCACGAAAGUGUGGGGAUCAAACAGGAUUAGAUACCCUGGUAGUCCACACUGUAAACGUUGAUGACUCGCUGUUGGCGAUAUACAGUCAGCGGCCAAGCGAAAGCGAUAAGUCAUC